rnacentral:rRNA from 1 species
UAGCUAGUUGGUGGGGUAAGGGCCUACCAAGGCGACGAUCGGUAGCUGGUCUGAGAGGAUGGCCAGCCACACUGGGACUGAGACACGGCCCAGACUCNUACGGGAGGCAGCAGUGGGGAAUAUUGGACAAUGGGGGGAACCCUGAUCCAGCAAUGCCGCGUGUGNGAAGAAGGCCUGAGGGUUGUAAAGCACUUUCAGUGGGGAGGAGGAUAUAUUGGUUAAGAGCUGAUGUAUUGGACGUUACCCACAGAAGAAGCACCGGCUAACUCCGUGCCAGCAGCCGCGGUAAUACGGAGGGUGCGAGCGUUAAUCGGAAUUACUGGGCGUAAAGGGUGCGUAGGUGGUUUAAUAAGUUAGCUGUGAAAUCCCUGGGCUUAACCUGGGCAGGUCAGCUAAGACUGUUAGACUAGAGUAUAGGAGAGGGUAGUGGAAUUUCCGGUGUAGCGGUGAAAUGCGUAGAGAUCGGAAGGAACACCGGUGGCGAAGGCGGCUACCUGGCCAGAUACUGACACUGAGGCACGAAAGCGUGGGGAGCAAACAGGAUUAGAUACCCUGGUAGUCCACGCUGUAAACGAUGUCAACUAGCUGUUGGUCAUAUGAAGAUGAUUAGUGGCGC